rnacentral:rRNA from 1 species
UACGAAGGGUGCAAGCGUUAUUCGGAAUAAUUGGGCGUAAAGGGUGCGUAGGCGACAAUUCAAGUCUGUUGUUAAAUUUCCCGGCCUAACCGGGGUGAUGCGAUAGAUACUGAUUUGAUAGAGGUUGGAAGAGAGAAGCGGAAUUCUCGGAGUAGCGGUAAAAUGCGUAGAUAUCGAGAGGAACACCGAUGGCGAAGGCAGCUUCUUGGUCCAUACCUGACGCUGAUGCACGAAAGCGUGGGGAGCAAACAGG